rnacentral:snoRNA from 1 species
UCGCGAAAGAUAAAAUGGCGAAGGGAAAGCUGAGCUUUAGUCAGCGGCGGCCAGACAACCGCUGAGAUGGAUCCACAGAUGGGUUCUUUCAAAAUAGGACUUGUCUACUAAUUCCACCUCACAUUU